AACGCAACUUGCACUUUCUGGGUCUACUAGAAAGUAUAUAUAUUUGAGUAUCAGAAUAAUCUAUCCAACAGCUAGUUGGGACUUGACUCUUCUACGUCUUCUACGAUGUAGUGGGUCUAAAUGGAUUGCAAUCAAAAUGUGGUAAAAGACGGAUGUUCUUUCCCAUUGACGAUUUAAACUCUGAAUUAUGAUCUCAAAUUAUAUAAGAAUACCCGCUGAACUUAA
rnacentral:misc_RNA from 1 species